CAGCAGCCGCGGUAAUACGUAGGGUGCGAGCGUUGUCCGGAAUUACUGGGCGUAAAGAGUUCGUAGGCGGUUUGUCGCGUCGUUUGUGAAAACCCGGGGCUCAACUUCGGGCUUGCAGGCGAUACGGGCAGACUUGAGUGUUUCAGGGGAGACUGGAAUUCCUGGUGUAGCGGUGAAAUGCGCAGAUAUCAGGAGGAACACCGGUGGCGAAGGCGGGU
rnacentral:rRNA from 1 species